UCAGCCUCUUGUCAUGGGUUUGGGUUGGUUGGCUGUGUUUUGUAUUUGUUUCUAUGUUCUUUACUUCCGUAGGUUUUUAUCAACAAGUCACUUAUGUUGUCUGUGUUAUGUUCCAUUUUGUGACAUUGUUCCUUGAGUGUUUCAGUUAGCUUUACUUCCUGUUUUAGUUUGUAGUUAGUCUGCCCGAGUGCCUCUUGUCAUGUUUUACUUCCUGUGCUUGUCCUUGAUUGUCUUAGUGGUCUCAACUGUUUGUAAUUAGUUUCUCCCUCACCUGUGUAUUUAAGUGGUUGUCUAUCUUUCACUUGUUGCCAGUUCAUUGUAGAUGUUCCUUUGGAUGUAUCUGUGGAUUUUGUGUUUGUCUCUAGUAUCUCCAGUGUUUCUCGUGCCCUUGUGGAUAUAUACUUUUGUUGGACCUUUGGAUUUGAGUGCUUAGUGCUUUUGGACUGCUGGCACCUAACCAGCUAUGCUGCUGUAUUCUUUAGAUCCAUUGGGUCAAGACAAGCUGACCCAAUCACAACUUGAUUGAUAAUCAGGCAGCAGGAACAAUAUGUGUUCUUCCAUGAAUUGCCAUACACAACUUUCUUGUGUAUAGUUUCCUAUCAGUACAUCUUGUUCCUCCUGUCCCCACAUUCACCAACCUGCCUCCUUCAGCCGCCAUCCCACUCAUCUGAAACCCUAAGUGUGAAAGCAAAGACUGUAUCUCGGAAUCCCCAACUGUAGCCAAAUGCCCCAUGUGAAACCCUUCCCUUCCCUCUUCACACUGUGACCCUUCCCCCACAUGGGCCACAUAUCCAUCCACUGUCAUGCUUUGGCGGAGACCCACCUCCAAAGCCAGCUCCUCUAUCUGAAACUGCUUCAUGGCACUGCGGUUCCCAUCCACAUUUUUGUGGUAGUAGAUCACCAUCACAUCGUACUUCUUCAUGACAGACUUGUAGUUCUUGGCGUUGAGUUCAUGGACGCGGUCUCUGCCAUCAUACUCGGGGAUUUCCAAGCCCUUCUCUCCCCAGGACAGGGUCCCCAAGGAUAGGAAGACCGCCAAAAACACCCAGCCCCACUUCAUGGCUAUUGUCACCUGGUGGUCGCAAGAACACCUCUUCUCAGAAACUUAAUUGUUGAUGUAUGGUUGAAGGGGGGAAAAUACACUUGAGAGGUUUGUCCCCAAUGCAAGUUGGUGUCAAGCAGGGAGAGUUAGGAACAAAGUCAGCUUCCUUUCCCCACUGGCUAGAGAAGAGCGGGUCUGUGAGUGAAACCCUCCCUUUAAAAAAGAGAUACACGUGGUUUUGCUGACGCCACUGGCCAAGGCAAGGGGGUGGGGCCCUUUUGGGGACGCAAAUCACUAUGUGAGUAGGCCAGACGCUGAUCCCACUUGUCCAAGAGCCAUGCACAAGCCAGAGGGGUUGCCAAAAAAGUAGUGGGGGUAACAUGGGAGGGGCCAUGCUUAGGACAUACGACCACCUGUCUGAAGCUGUGGCUAUGAAAAGGGACAGCGGUUGUGUUGGGUGUUUAGAGAGCUACAGAUACCAGCUCAGUGUCUUGGAGGACAUAAGGUAUGGGUGGAUGUACGAUGAGAGCUUGAGGAAAGAAGAGCUCCAAGAUGCCAUUUCCAUAUUAAGUUUUGCAGAGGAGUCGGACUCUUGCUAAAAAUAAGGCCUCUGUGGAACAACACUGUGAACAACAUGGCAUCCACGCAGAGUGUCGAUGUGCUCUGUAGGCACGUAUGGACAGAGAGAAAUGAAAAGUUUUGCACUCACUUGUUUGAACAUCUAAAGAAAAUACAAGCAUCAUGUUUGUCUUGGUAAAGUCACAGUUCAAUGAAAAAUGACUUUCACUACAAACUUUUCACUUUUUUACAAGCCAUAAUCAAAGACAAUUGAGUAUUGUGGUGCAUAUUUGAAUGAAGUUAAAAAAGAAAUUACAAUAUAUGAAUUUACCAUAUGUCUACUUUAUUGUAUUAUUAUCAGCACACG